UACGGAGGGUGCAAGCGUUAUCCGGAUUCACUGGGUUUAAAGGGUGCGUAGGAGGGCAGGUAAGUCAGUGGUGAAAUCUCCAAGCUUAACUUGGAACUGCCGUUGAUACUAUCUGUCUUGAAUAUUGUGGAGGUGAGCGGAAUAUGUCAUGUAGCGGUGAAAUGCUUAGAUAUGACAUAGAACACCAAUUGCGAAAGGCAGCUCACUACUCAAUCGAUUGACUCUGAGGCACGAAAGCGUGGGGAUCAAACAGG
rnacentral:rRNA from 1 species